AUUCAGGAUGGACUUAAGGGCUUUCAGCUUCCUUCCAGCUCUUUCCAUGCUUAGGUGAGUCACUGCGGCCUGAGCAUAGGAGCCCGGGUUGCUGGUUAGACCAGGAUCGUUUAUUGAACUUUCUAACCCUCCUCUGCGUUGCCUUUAGGGCUUUCUCCUGUCCUUGCACUCAGCUCCCCACGGAAGAGCUAGUGGUCCAGUCCCUCAGGUGCCUGAGGAGCGGCCAGGGUUAGAGUUGCCUCAGCCCUUAGGGAAUGUCAGGAAUGCUGAGACUGUCUGGCGCUGCUGCUUCUCAGACCCCCGGGGGAAAGGAAGUUUUGGAUCAGAGCUGUGGAAGGAGCAAUCUUUACCUCUGACCACAGUUACCUAAAGAUGUGGCACUGACCCUUCUACCCAAGUGUCGGUUGCCGGAAAUCCCCUUGUCUGUUCGUCUGGAAGCAGAGGUCUCUGGGAAAGGCUGCAUAGCAAACUAUAGAUGUGUGAAAUUAUUUGACAUUUCAUUCCUUAUCCUGAGAUUUCAGAGUCUGAAUGAAAAUGGGCAAAAGGGAAGAAAAAAAAAAAAAAGCCAGGGACUGGCUCCCAAGUGUCACCACACAACAGUUGUUCUGACUCUCCGUCCCCAGUCUGAAUUUGGCUACAUUUGUGUCUGCGUUUAACUCACACAAGUAUAAGGACAGCCGUCAGAGGAGCCAGAAACUACAUCGAGAGCGCAACUGCUUUCGCAACAGCCUUUGUGACAACUAGAGUCGCUCAAGAGAAUGAUUUCUUUUCUGAGAUGGACUCUGGGGCUCCACCCUUCUCAACUCAGCCGUUGUUCUACAAUAUAUCUGGCCUUCGAUGGAGACUUACCGUAACCUUCAAACACCACAACCUUAUCACAGCUGCCACCCUGUCCCUUCUGUUGCUUCCCUGGAAACCUCUGUGGAGGGGCACUUCUCCUUGUGUUCAGGAAGUGCAAACAUUAACAUAAGAGCAGUUUAGUGAGGAUAUUUGCUUGCAUCUGGGUACAAACAUGAAAGGGUUCCCCCCCCCCCCGUAAUUGUUACUAAGUGUACUCUGUCAAAAUUCUCUGCCUGCCACUUGCCAUAAGCCUCCUUAGUGGCACCUCAGCUCAGUGCCCUGGAUCCCGAAAGUCUUAAGGCUGGCAGUAUUCAUUUUCAAUGUCUAAAGUCAGUUGCUUUCAAAGUCUCUGCCUCCUCCUUCAAAGAGGUAGAGGUGAUAAUCCUUAGUAUUAGCACCCCCCCCCACUUACUCCCCAGCCCAACCCCGACAACACUUGCUAUAGGAUCUGAAGGCUCUUCCUUGCCCUAGAGAGGCUGCUGUGUUCUCUGUAGGGCGUAGCUGCUUAUUUGACCAGUGU
rnacentral:lncRNA from 1 species